GCAAAUCAAUAUAAUCUGAAAUUGUUAUUUUUACUUUUAUUUAUAAAUUUAAUUAAUUUUGAGAAAAAUUAUUUAUUGUUAUUGUAUUUAUUUAAGAUUAAAUUUUUUUUUGUAAUAGUUUAUUAGUACUUUGAAGGAUUAUAGAAUUAUUUGAUUAUUAUUUAUAAAGUAUUAUUAGUUUUUUGUACCUUGUGUAUCAGGGUUUAUUAAAUAUUUAAUAUUUAUUUAUUAUUCCCGAUCUUAGGAGAGUUAAUUUAUUUAUGUUAGUUAAUGUUUAAUUAUUAUUAAUAAUAAUUUUUUAGGAGUGAAAUGCUAUACGUUCUUAAGGAUUUCUGGUUUUUUAAGAAAUAAAUUUAAUUUAGUAAUUAUUUCAUAUAUUAAUAAUAUAAAUAUAUUUAUUAAUAUUAAAUAAUUGUCAAUAUUUUGAGGGAUAAGCUUUGAAGUAUAAAUUAAUAAAUUUUAUUUUAAAAUAAGUCUAGUGAAUUUAAAGGUGGUUAUUUCUAUUUAAGUGUGUUGAAAUUUUACUUACUUAUGAUUACAUUUAUAUUAAUUUUUAUUUUUUUAUUAAAAAUAUUUAAUUAAUAAUUAGUUAAUUGUUAUAAUGAUAAAAUUAGUAUAAAUUAUUAGUGGAAUUAUUAAUUUUUGGUAAUAAGUUAUUAGGAAUUAGGCAAAUUUUAUUUUCGCCUGUUUAACAAAAACAUCUCUUUUUGUUUAUAUAUAAAGUAUGACCUGCCCACUGAUUUAUUUGAAGGGCCGCGGUAACCUGACCGUGCAAAGGUAGCAUAAUCAUUAGUUUCUUAAUUAGAGGCUGGAAUGAAUGGUUGGACGAAAUAUGAGCUAUCUCAUUAUUUUUAUUAGAAUUUAAUUAUUAAGUAAAAAAGCUUAAAUAUUGUUAUGGGACGAGAAGACCCUAUAGAGUUUAAUAUUAUAAUUUUUAGAUUAGUUUUGUUUCGCAAUAUUAAUUAUAAUUUUUUGUUGGGGUGACAGGAAGAUAUAAAUAACUCUUUUUAUUGAUAAAUAUUAAUUUAUAGAAUUUUGAUCCAUUUAUAAUGAUUAUAAGACUAAAUUACCUUAGGGAUAACAGCGUAAUCUUUUUUGAGAGUUCUUAUCAAUAAAAGGGGUUGCGACCUCGAUGUUGGAUUAAGAUUAACAUUAGGUGUAGAAGCUUAUUAGAUGAGUCUGUUCGACUCUUAAAUUCUUACAUGAUCUGAGUUCAAACCGGCGUGAGCCAGGUCGGUUUCUAUCUAUAAUAAAAUUUAAUAUUUUAGUACGAAAGGACCAAAUAUUGUAAAUAAUUUAAUUUUUAUAAUGAUUACUAUUAAUAACUAUUUUGGCAGAUAAGUGCAGUGGAUUUAGAAUCUAUAAAUAUAGAUAU
rnacentral:rRNA from 1 species